rnacentral:rRNA from 1 species
AAGCUCGUAGUUGGAUUUUGGUUAAGAGGGCGCGGUCGGCCGUUUGGUCUGUACUGCGUUGUCUUGACUUCCUGAUGAGGACAUGCUCUUGGUUAACGCUGAGACAUGGAGUCAUCGUGGUUACUUUGAAAAAAUUAGAGUGUUCAAAGCGGGCUUACGCUUGAAUAUAUUAGCAUGGAAUAACACUAUAGGACUCCUGUCCUAUCUCGUUGGUCUCGGGAUGGGAGUAAUGAUUAAGAGGAACAGUUGGGGGCAUUCGUAUUUCAUUGUCAGAGGUGAAAUUCUUGGAUUUAUGAAAGACGAACUUCUGCGAAAGCAUUUGCCAAGGAUGUUUUCAUUAAUCAAGAACGAAAGUUGGGGGCUCGAAGAUGAUUAGAUACCAUCCUAGUCUCAACCAUAAACGAUGCCGACUAGGGAUUGGUGGAUGUUAAUUGAUGACUUCACCAGCACCUUAUGAGAAAUCAAAGUUUUUGGGUUCCGGGGGGAGUAUGGUCGCAAGGCUGAAACUUAAAGGAAUUGACGGAAGGGCACCACCAGGCGUGGAGCCUGCGGCUUAGUUUGACUCAACACGGGGAAACUUACCAGGUCCAGACAUAAGUAUGAUUGACAGAUUGAGAGCUCUUUCUUGAUUCUAUGGGGUGGGGGGUGCAUGGCCGUUC